UGUGUCCCUGCGAAAUUUUGUGAAAAAAUUCAUCGGUUCAGGAAAAACAAAAUUUGAUGUCCUAUGAAUAUUUGUAUUUCGUUAUGGUAAUCAAACCUAUACCAUAGUGCUGACUUGUUUUAUCGGCAGUUUUUCAAGUGCACAAUCGAGGAUUGUUAUCCAAGGGAUCCUUGAAUUUUACCUUAUGUUGAAACAACAGUGACUCUGAAACAUUUAUUUCAUUUUUCAGCUGACCAAAGCCAAAUAGUCAAUAGAUAUUUUUCAUUACUUGGCGUCCGUCCGUCUAUCGUCGCUGUAUCUUUGUCUUUUUCAACUUAAACUCGGAUAACUCAUUAUAGAAGAUGUUGCCAUUAAUUGACUAGUUUAAACCAUUUUGGAUUUUGUUUUGCCUUUUAACCCUUAAGACUAUCAUAGACCGAGUAAAGAUUUAAUAGCAAAAUUAAUCAGCAAGACAAUUCAACAUCUCCGAAAUCGUCAGUCAACUCUUUACAGAAAAUAUUGCCCCACGAUGGUUAUUUUAUAAACUUUUUGCUUUUGCGUUUUUGAUUAAUAAUUUUAAAAGGCUUGUAAUUUUUAAACAUUAGAUAAAGAAAAAAUUACAAUAACAAAAACGAGUAAUAAGACAAGGUCUACAAAUUUAUUAAAAUAGCCGAAAAAGUCAAUUAACUCCUGAUAGGACUUGUUGUUCCAAAAUGACUUUUUACAUAGGUUUUGCAUUUUUGAACAUACCUGUAGUAGAUAAAGAUUACCUUUAUAUUCAGUAAAAAAUUAUCAUCAAUAUACGAUUUGUAUAUACAUAGCCCAACUUCUCAUUCCGUUCACCAUAAGAGUGAAUGAUAAUUCUUAUCUGUUUUAAGGUAGUUCGCUUCUCAGUUUCAAAGUAAUUAACUUUUUAAAACACUAGUUUAUAUUGAUAGGGGAUUAAUAAAGGAAUCAACAGAGCAAAAAAAAAUAUAUAGGUCACCGUGCUUGUUUUCGAGAUAUUAGCCAUUGAAAUUUUGGCGGGAAAAUAUUCUCUCUUGGCUUUUCAUAGCUUUAGUAUUGACAAGGUGAAGUUCUCAAAAACUGUUGAAAAGUAAUUAAAAUUUUAUAAGACUUUUACAGAUGGCUAAUUAUUAUACAUGUUAAAGAUUUACAAAAAGAAAAAUGGGG
rnacentral:lncRNA from 1 species